AAUGAACGCUGGCGGCGCGCCUAAUACAUGCAAGUCGAGCGAGAAGACGUAGCAAUACGUUUGUAAAGCGGCGAACGGGUGAGGAAUACAUGGGUAACCUACCCUAGAGUGGGGAAUAACUAGCCGAAAGGUUAGCUAAUACCGCGUACGCUCCUUGGACUUCGGUUCAGGGAGGAAAGCGAUGCCGAGGGUAUCGCGCUCUUGGAUGGGCUCAUGUCCUAUCAGCUUGUUGGGAGGUAACGGCUCACCAAGGCUUCGACGGGUAGCUGGUCUGAGAGGACGAUCAGCCACACUGGCACUGCGACACGGGCCAGACUCCUACGGGAGGCAGCAGUAAGGAAUAUUGCGCAAUGGGCGAAAGCCUGACGCAGCGACGCCGCGUGGGGGAUGAAGGUCUUCGGAUUGUAAACCCCUUUCGGGAGGGAAGAUGGAAUGGGGUAACCCAUUCGGACGUACCUCCAGAGCAGCCACGGCUAACUUCGUGCCAGCCGCCG
rnacentral:rRNA from 1 species